rnacentral:lncRNA from 1 species
CACAACACAGGUCUUUCCCCUCCCACUUGCCCUUCAGGCCAGCGGGGCCAGGGCUGUGCAGCCAGGACAGAACUCAGAAGCCAAAGCCUGCGGGUGACUCAGCACCUAGGAACCCAGGCAGCCUGGGACUAUCUGAUCCACUUGUUCUAAAACACAGCAGGUCCAUGGCCAGCAGGCCUCUGCCCCCGGGACGCCAGGAGGAGGAGAAUGCCAAAGACUCCGGGCGGAAACCCUCACCGGUGCGGCCCCGAGGCUGCCUGCCCAGCAUUGAUGAGGCCCGACCGGCAGGUCCAGGUCCA